CAGCCGCCGCGGUAAUACGUAGGUGGCAAGCGUUGUCCGGAAUUAUUGGGCGUAAAGCGCGCGCAGGUGGUUUAAUAAGUCUGAUGUGAAAGCCCACGGCUCAACCGUGGAGGGCCAUUGGAAACUGUUAAACUUGAGUGCAGGGGAGAAAAGUGGAAUUCCUAGUGUAGCGGUGAAAUGCGUAGAGAUUAGGAGGAACACCAGUGGCGAAGGCGACUUUCUGGUCUGUAACUGACGCUGAUGUGCGAAAGCGUGGGGAUCAAACAGGAUUAGAUACCCGUGUAGUCCCUGUCUCUUAUAC
rnacentral:rRNA from 1 species